rnacentral:misc_RNA from 1 species
AAUUCUCAACCAUCCUUUGAUUGAUUUCGAGGGGUGGCUUGGAUUUUGGGAGUUGCUGGCUGACCCCCUUGGGUGGGGGACUGGUCGGCUCUCCUUAAAAGCAUUAGCGAAAGGUGGCAAGCCCUGCAUGUACGGCCUUCGGCGUGAUAAUGAUCGUCGUGGCUGGAGUGCGAGGCAUGAAUCUAAACCCUUUGCUUCUAAACGUUCGUACUGGGGACUUUGCUUCGGCGGACGAACCUUUACUUUCUGACG